GACGAACGCUGGCGGCGUGCUUAACACAUGCAAGUCGAACGGAAAGGCCCUGCUUUUGUGGGGUGCUCGAGUGGCGAACGGGUGAGUAACACGUGAGUAACCUGCCCUUGACUUUGGGAUAACUUCAGGAAACUGGGGCUAAUACCGGAUAGGAGCUCCUGCUGCAUGGUGGGGGUUGGAAAGUUUCGGCGGUUGGGGAUGGACUCGCGGCUUAUCAGCUUGUUGGUGGGGUAGUGGCUUACCAAGGCUUUGACGGGUAGCCGGCCUGAGAGGGGGACCGGCCACAUUGGGACUGAGAUACGGCCCAGAAGCCUACGGGAGGCAGCAGUGGGGAAUAUGGCACAAUGGGCGGAAGCCUGAGGCAGCAACGCCGCGUGCGGGAUGACGGCCUUCGGGUUGUAAACCGCUUUCGCCUGUGACGAAGCGUGAGUGACGGUAAUGGGUAAAGAAGCACCGGCUAACUACGUG
rnacentral:rRNA from 1 species